UAUCUCUGUAGAGUCUGCAUAUCAAUAAGCGGAGGAAAAGAAACUAACUAGGAUUCCCUCAGUAACGGCGAGUGAAGCGGGAAGAGCUCAAAUUUGAAAUCUUCAAGGUUCUACCUUGACGAAUUGUAGUUUAAAGAAGUGUUUUCUGUUGGAGUUUUGGUAAAAGUUCUUUGGAAUAGGACAUCAUAGAGGGUGAGAAUCCCGUAUUUGACCAUUAUUUCCAGCUUUGUGAUACACUUUCAAAGAGUCGGAUUGUUUGGGAAUGCAGUCCAAAAUGGGUGGUAAAUUUCAUCUAAAGCUAAAUAUUGGCGAGAGACCGAUAGCGAACAAGUCACCGUGAGGGAAAGAUGAAAAGAACUUUGAAAGAGAGUUAAACAGUACGUGAAAUUGUCAAAAGGGAAGCGUUUGACACCAGUGUUGUUUUCUCGAAAAUCAAUUAAAAAAAGGUAGGAUUUUGUAUUGUUAUGACCUUAUCAGCUUUCUGCACUCUUUUCUUGUCUUUUUUAAUGCACUUUUCGUUUAACAAGUCAACAUCAAUUUCCUUUUGUUGUAAAAGGGUCAUUGGAAGGUGGCUUUCUUUUCGGAGAAAGUGUUUAUAGCCUUUGGCCUUCUGCAAUCGGAGAGAUUGAGGUCUGCAGCGUAGAUCCUUCGGGGCUAGAUACAUUAGAUGCUAAGUUAUAGCUUUUUAUAGACAACCUGUUGACUAUGAUUAAGUCAUGUAGCUUACUCGUUAUGCCUAUUUUACCUACGCUUAGGAUGUUGAUCUGUAGUGCGUGCGC
rnacentral:rRNA from 1 species